GGAGGAUUAGCAUAAUCCGGUAGUGCAGCUGCCUGCUAAGCAGUCGAUUUCUAAAAAGAAGUCUUGUGGGUUCAAAUCCCUCAUCCUCCGCCA
rnacentral:tRNA from 1 species